rnacentral:rRNA from 1 species
UGCGUAGGUGGCGCCAUAAGUCAGGUGUGAAAUCUCGGGGCUUAACUCCGAAACUGCAUUUGAUACUGUGGUGCUUGAGGACUGGAGAGGAGACUGGAAUUCACGGUGUAGCAGUGAAAUGCGUAGAUAUCGUGAGGAAGACCAGUGGCGAAGGCGGGUCUCUGGACAGUUCCUGACGCUGAGGCACGAAGGCCAGGGGAGCAAACG